rnacentral:rRNA from 1 species
UACCAGACUCCUACGGGAGGCAGCAGUGGGGAAUAUUGCACAAUGGGGGAAACCCUGAUGCAGCGACGCCGCGUGAGCGAUGAAGUAUUUCGGUAUGUAAAGCUCUAUCAGCAGGGAAGAGGAUGACGGUACCUGACUAAGAAGCCCCGGCUAACUACGUGCCAGCAGCCGCGGUAAUACGUAGGGGGCAAGCGUUAUCCGGAUUUACUGGGUGUAAAGGGAGCGUAGACGGCGAUGCAAGCCAGAUGUGAAAGCCCGGGGCUCAACCCCGGGACUGCAUUUGGAACUGUGUGGCUGGAGUGUCGGAGAGGCAGGCGGAAUUCCUAGUGUAGCGGUGAAAUGCGUAGAUAUUAGGAGGAACACCAGUGGCGAAGGCGGCCUGCUGGACGAUGACUGACGUUGAGGCUCGAAAGCGUGGGGAGCAAACAGGAUUAGAUACCCGGGUAGUC